rnacentral:lncRNA from 10 species
CCCUGUGUCCUCACCAUCCCUGAUGGCUGCAGGGAGCCGCUGGGCCCUGCCCCUCAGUCACAUUCCCGCACCUCUGGCACAGGUUGGUGGUUCUGUCAGAUGAAAGCAAAGCGAGGCUGGAUCCCAGCGUCCUUCCUCGAGCCCCUGGACAGUCCUGACGAGACGGAAGACCCUGAGCCCAACUAUGCAGGUGAGCCAUACGUCGCCAUCAAGGCCUACACUGCUGUGGAGGGGGACGAGGUGUCCCUGCUCGAGGGUGAAGCUGUUGAGGUCAUUCACAAGCUCCUGGACGGCUGGUGGGUCAUCAGGUAGGAGGGCCCCUCUCCAUCCAGAGCACCCAUCUGAGUCAGCCCCAGCCAGGACGGGGUGUUUAGGGAUCUGGGGUGACUUGUCCCUGGGACUCUGGGUAAGCCACUGCCCCUCUCUGGGCUUAGUUUCCAUCUCAGUAGCAGGGAGGAAUGAGCCCACCCUUGCCUGUCUUGUGGGGAUCCAAUGUCCUUGUCCAAGUGGGUGCAUUUCUCCUUUGUGAUUUAGGGUCUCUUCCCAACCAUCUAU